AGCUACUUUACUGCGCAAACCUGUUGAAGCUGUUGAUGCUUGUUCCUCUAAAAUUAUAUAUAACCUUGUUUUUUUAAAUUAUUAAUUAAUUAUGUUUAUUUCUUUUUAUUUAAUUAUAAUAUAUGUGCUUCUUUUUAAACUUUUAAAAUUGAAAUAUUUCAUCAUUGCCAGUUUAGUUGUUAGUUUAAGUAUUUUGAUAAGUUGUUUGAACACUUUGGAAAAUGUCAUGAAGACAAAACACACAGAAAAGUGUCCUUUCUGUUAUGGACUUACAGCAUGUUAUUUAAUGGAUGUUAAUGAACUUACUUUCGAUCACAGUGAUCUAUCUUCUUUGUUUUCCAAUUAUUUAGGGACAAAGAAUGUUUAUUUCGUUAACGCGGGAAAUGAGAGACUGGUUUUAAAACAGCUAGCAAGCGAUUCAGAACUAGAGCAAUUCGAUGAGAUUAGUACUGUUUUCAGAGAGGCCAUCGACGUUGAUUUCCUGGAUCUUAUAAAGGAAUCUGUCUCAACAAAUAUGAGCGAUUCAACAAGUAAACUGCGACUCUGUCCAACUACAAAGAACAUGGAAUUGCUUUUGAAAAAUGAAAUUGAUAACGAGCAUUUCUCGUAUAAAUAUAUUUGGACCCUGGUGAAAGUAAAUCCAGAACCUCUUAUGUUGCAGAUUUUACCUGCAAGACUGGGAUGGCCUGUUCCUAAAUAUUAUGGAGCUUGUGGGAGAUUAAUUGUUGAAGAAUUCGUCGGUCCUGUUCUGUCCAAGUUUUACAAUGAACUUUGGAUUCUAAGAGCAGAAAUAGCUUCUAGCUUACUCAAUGCAGCACAUGCGCUUACUUUUCAAGAUGAAAAUUUUGCAUUUUAUUUAACAGAUGUUUCUUUUGAUAAUAUUGCCGUUGAUUCCAAUAACACUGCCAAAUUUAUUGACCUGGAAAAUGUUAUCGUGGUUGAUAAGCAUACAUCUGUCACAGAUCAAUUUGAAACUUUGAAAACCGUCCACAAAAGCGACUCAGAUUUUGGCUGUGACGAUUGCUUAAUAUUUUCUCCAGCAGACAUAUGUGCACAUCAAGUUAGCGACCACAACUAUUAUGCCAUUUGCAAGCACAUUUUAGCCAGAAAGAUGACUGAAAGACAAAUAUCAGAUGGCCUUUUACACGAUGUACCGGAUAGUAUUCUAAGUCGAUACCCUAUUUUACUUAAUCUUGCAAAAAAGUGCUCCAAUUCUGAUACUUUAAGCAGCAGAAUUACUUCAGGGAUUAGACUCAAUAGCUUGUUGAAAGCUAUUGUUAGGACGCAAAUCUAGAUUACAAAUUUCAAUUCUAGGAGUGCUCAUUUGAGGUAUAUCAUACAUUUCUCACAAUGCUUUUUUAAGAAGGGUUACUUCUUUCUCUCAUUCUCUUUAUCUUUCUUCAUGCUUCAAAUAUAUCAACUUGCAGAAAACUUAGAUUGUAUAUUAGAAGACUUCCAUGAAUGAAUUAGGAGGAAAAGUAUAAACUAUAUGGAUGUAAGCAGGCACUGGAAUUAAUACCACUCUUUUACAACCAACUAAAUCCAGCAAAUUUCAACGCCUGUAAAUUCAUUUGAAAUUUUUGGUCUUAAAAACAACGUAAGAAAAAAUAAUACAUUAACUGUACGAUUUGUUUAUUCAAAAAACUUUUUCUAUGUAUUUCCAUCGCUAGGUGAAUUAAUUAAAGACAUAAAUUGUAAUAAAAAAGCCAAAUGGUAAAGUAAUUCCAUGUAACAAAAUUUUCAAAUUGAAUAAAUAGAAUAUUGCAGAAUUAA